CGCCACCGGGUCUUCUUCGUGCUCCCUGCCCUCUCCGCCGCUCAUUUAUUAGUUCUACAUGCCCGUCGCCCGUCUCCUCCGCUGCCCCGCUCUAACCACAGCCGGCGAAAAACUGCUCCUCCAGAGAAAUCCGGGCGAGAAUCUUGGACCCUCUUUUCCCCUUCUCCUCUCUCUCUCUCUCUCUCUCUCUCUCUCUCUCUCUCUNNNNNNNNNNNNNNNNNNNNCCUUCCUUCCUCUCUCUCUCUCUCUCUCUCUCUCUCUCUCUCUCUAUACCUAUCUAUCUCUAUCUGUCUAUCAGUCUACACAGAGCUCAUUGUUCUUAUUCCCAGUCGCAGUGCGAAUUCUUUCCUCGCUGCAAUUAUUGUCCGCGGCCUGUUUCGAAGUCGGGUCGGUGUCAUCAAUUCAUUGCGCCACCUUCUACCCCGCAUCUCCGCUGCCGCCCUUCACUCCCCUCUCUCUCUCUCUCCGAUUCCCGUGCAUCUCCAAUGGGAGGGCGAACCUCGCCAGCUCCUCUCCCGCUCUUCCUCAUCGUCCUUCUACUCAAUGUUCUCCCGCUCCUUCGCGGUAGCGUCGCCGGCG
rnacentral:lncRNA from 1 species